GACGAACGCUGGCGGCGUGCUUAACACAUGCAAGUCGAACGGAAAGGCCCUGCUUUUGUGGGGUGCUCGAGUGGCGAACGGGUGAGUAACACGUGAGUAACCUGCCCUUGACUUUGGGAUAACUUCAGGAAACUGGGGCUAAUACCGGAUAGGAGCUCCUGCUGCAUGGUGGGGGUUGGAAAGUUUCGGCGGUUGGGGAUGGACUCGCGGCUUAUCAGCUUGUUGGUGGGGUAGUGGCUUACCAAGGCUUUGACGGGUAGCCGGCCUGAGAGGGUGAGCGGCCACAUUGGGACUGAGAUACGGCCCAGACUCCUACGGGAGGCAGCAGUGGGGAAUAUUGCACAAUGGGCGGAAGCCUGAUGCAGCAACGCCGCGUGCGGGAUGACGGCCUUCGGGUUGUAAACCGCUUUCGCCUGUGACGAAGCGUGAGUGACGGUAAUGGGUAAAGAAGCACCGGCUAACUACGUGC
rnacentral:rRNA from 1 species